rnacentral:rRNA from 1 species
UACGGGGGGGCAAGCGUUGUUCGGAAUUACUGGGCGUAAAGGGCUCGUAGGCGGCCCUCUCAGUCGGAUGUGAAUCCCCAGGCUUAACCUGGGAACGGCAUCCGAUACUGGGAGGGCUUGAAUUCGGGAGAGGGAUGCAGAAUUCCAGGUGUAGCGGUGAAAUGCGUAGAUAUCUGGAGGAAUACCGGGUGGCGAAGGCGGCAUCCUGGACCGAGAUUGACGCUGAGGAGCGAAAGCUAGGGGAGCAAACGGGG